UACGUAGGGCGCAAGCGUUGUCCGGAAUUACUGGGCGUAAAGCGUGCGCAGGCGGUGAUGUAAGACAGGUGUGAAAUCCCCGGGCUUAACCUGGGAACUGCAUUUGUGACUGCAUCGCUGGAGUGCGGCAGAGGGGGAUGGAAUUCCGCGUGUAGCAGUGAAAUGCGUAGAUAUGCGGAGGAACACCGAUGGCGAAGGCAAUCCCCUGGGCCUGCACUGACGCUCAUGCACGAAAGCGUGGGGAGCAAACAGG
rnacentral:rRNA from 1 species